GUGAGGUUACAGUGGGCUGAGCUGCGGGAGCGCCGUGCUAAUGGGGCAGAAAGCAAUCAGGGGCUUUGGUAAUGGGGCUGAGGGGGGAAGGGGCGCUGACCCACGGGUGCCGUGUGCUCUCUCAGCCCUGUGAUGCUCCCCGUGCUCUGCGACAGCGUGGAGCCAAAGGAGGUUAUUGGGACGGGAGGAAGCAUUUGUUCGACCCAUUUGUUCUUAUGGGGCUGCGUGCUGCAGGGGGUGCCGGCACAAUGGGAUGCUCUGCUGUGCAGCAUGGGUGGUGCUCGCUCUGCUCCCCAGUUUGCCCAGCGCUGAGUGUGGGAUGUGGCACAGUGUCCUGGGGGUGAAAUGAGCACUGAGGUCAUGAAGACAGCUGCACACCCGAGAUCCCUACAAGAGGAUUUGCUUUGUCUCCAUUGUAAUGCCCUUAUGGCAUCCAUGGAGCUGCGGGAGCUGACUUUGGGGCAGAGAGCUGAGCCUCCUCCUUAGCAGUGAACCCACACCUCUGCCCAUGCACAAAGCUGAGGCAGCCACAGGUUUUAAUCAUAAUUAACCACUGGAUGCCAUUAUUCAGCCAUCAGGUAGCAGCCCUGCCAAAGGGCACGGAAUGAAGGCCUGGGCAUUUCUCCCUCCCUUACAAUGCUCACAGCCUUCCUGUGGGCACAGACCCCCCUGGGGGUCCCCUCAGCCCCUUCCCUUUCCCUCAGUGCUGCAGUUCCCACCACUGCCCGCCCCAAUGCUGGGAUGCAUCCCUCAAUCCCAGUGCUCCCAUCAGCCCAACCCCUCAUUAAGCUGCUCACCCCCUCUGCAGUAAUUACUCCUAUUUAUAACUAACCUCACAGAGCCCCUGCCUGCCCCCCCCACCCCCCCCUCCCCUUCCUCCCCUGCUGCUCUCGCUGACACAGAGCUAUUUUUACCCCUUUCCUCCCAGAGAUGCUCCUCUCCCACUUCCAGGCAUGGGAUUUCAAGCAGCUCCAUUGUCACCAUCACCCCAGGGCCACCGUCACGGCCCCGCUGUGUCCCCAUGGAUGGGGCAAUGGGUGCAUGGGGGGGUUGGGGAGACCUGCACAGAUGUGUUCCUAACGAUGGGAGGAAAUAGACCCGCCCUCUGUUUUGCCACCCGCAGUUUUGGAUGGGAUCGCUCCGUUGCAAAGGGGAAGCGCUGCUCUGAGCUCUGCCUUAAUGCCUCUCUGUGCCAUUCCAGUGUGAGUUCAGCUCUGCUGCUCCCCAUGUCUGCAAUGUCUGCUGGUAAUUGGCUCCCCUUUCGCUGCGAUAACCAAGAGCAGCGGGGUGGAAAUGCAGCCACUUCCCGGCUCCUGUUCUAAUGAGAUCAGUGCGCGCCCCUGGGAAAGGUGAGUGUGACACAGGUGGGACGUGGCUUUGCAUGAGCAGCUCCAUGCAUCCCAGCUGCAGGGUCUUCCGUGCAUGCCGUGCUCCAAGCAUCAGAGUCACUGGGCAACGCCGUGCAGCAGCAGGGCGGGCUCUGCAAAGGGAAUUGCAUCUGAACAGCGUUGCAUCUGAAUAGCGCUGCACCUGCAGAGUGUUGCAUCUGAACAGCAUUGCAUCUGAACAGCACGGUACCUGCACAGUAUUGCAUCUGCACAGUGUUACAUCCAAACAGCGUUGCACCUGAGCAACACAGUGCCUGCACAGUGUUUGCAUCUGAACAGCACAGUAUCUGCACAGCGUUGCAUCUGAAUAGCAUUGCACCUGCACAGUGUUGCAUCUGAACAGCAUUGCACCUGCUCAGCAUUGCAUCUGAACAACACAGUACCUACACAGCGUUGCAUCUGAACAGAACAGCACCUGCAUAUCAUUGCAUCUGAACAGCAUUGCGACUGCGUGGCACUGCAUCUGAAUAGCACUGCGCCUGCACUGCUUUGCACCUGCACGGUGUUGCACCUGCACUGCUUUGCACCUGCACAGUAAUGGCAUUGCACUUGCACAGAAGGAGAGGGAGAGAAAGCAGCCCUGGGAUCGGGACCUGCUGCUCACAGGGCCCCGCAGGGCUGUGCCCUCACUGUUUGCCCACAUCCCACCGAAAUCCCACGGGAUCGAUGGGGGUCGGCCGGGUGCACCGCCCCGAGGCCAUGGGAUCGAUGAGGAGUGAAGGAAAUGCGGCCGAAGAUGCGCGGUUUUACAGCUUCCUCCCCAAGAACGGCCGUGCUUUAUGGACUGCUGGUAAUUGCCAAUUAAUUGCGCUGCAGCCGAGGGCAGGAAAGCAGCCCGCAUCCUCCAUACGGGGUGGGCAGGAUAUCAGAGUCCGAAGGUGUUACCACUCCUCCACUUAAUGAAGAAAAAUCACGAUGGAGGCGGCCGGAGGCAACGCAAUGGGAUUGCAGCGGGGAGGAGAGGACUGUGUUAACACCCAUUAAUAAUAAAUAACCGCCAUAAUGAGCUCUAAUUAAUUUGGUCACACGUUAGAGAUCGCUUCCUUCUUUUUUAAGCUUGUAGGUUUUUCUGUGCCGGAGCAUCCCUGCGCCCUGGCUGUUCCCAGCCCCUUCCAUUCAACGUGUGAUAGAUGGAUUGAUACGCAGCUUUAAUCAGUGUAAUAUAUAAAGCACUUAAUUUGCCUUAUUAAAAGUCUGCACUUUGGA
rnacentral:lncRNA from 1 species